rnacentral:rRNA from 2 species
UGGGGAAUAUUGGACAAUGGGCGCAAGCCUGAUCCAGCCAUGCCGCGUGAGUGAUGAAGGCCCUAGGGUUGUAAAGCUCUUUCACCGGUGAAGAUAAUGACGGUAACCGGAGAAGAAGCCCCGGCUAACUUCGUGCCAGCAGCCGCGGUAAUACGAAGGGGGCUAGCGUUGUUCGGAUUUACUGGGCGUAAAGCGCACGUAGGCGGACUUUUAAGUCAGGGGUGAAAUCCCGGGGCUCAACCCCGGAACUGCCUUUGAUACUGGAAGUCUUGAGUAUGGGAGAGGUGAGUGGAAUUCCGAGUGUAGAGGUGAAAUUCGUAGAUAUUCGGAGGAACACCAGUGGCGAAGGCGGCUCACUGGACCAUUACUGACGCUGAGGUGCGAAAGCGUGGGGAGCAAACAGG